rnacentral:rRNA from 1 species
GACGAACGCUGGCGGCGUGCUUAACACAUGCAAGUCGAACGGAAAGGCCCUGCUUUUGUGGGGUGCUCGAGUGGCGAACGGGUGAGUAACACGUGAGUAACCUGCCCUUGACUUUGGGAUAACUUCAGGAAACUGGGGCUAAUACCGGAUAGGAGCUCCUGCUGCAUGGUGGGGGUUGGAAAGUUUCGGCGGUUGGGGAUGGACUCGCGGCUUAUCAGCUUGUUGGUGGGGUAGUGGCUUACCAAGGCUUUGACGGGUAGCCGGCCUGAGAGGGUGACCGGCCACAUUGGGACUGAGAUACGGCCCAGACUCCUACGGGAGGCAGCAGUGGGGAAUAUUGCACAAUGGGCGGAAGCCUGAUGCAGCAACGCCGCGUGCGGGAUGACGGCCUUCGGGUUGUAAACCGCUUUCGCCUGUGACGAAGCGUGAGUGACGGUAAUGGGUAAAGAAGCACCGGCUAACUACGUGCCAGCAGCCGCGGUGAUACGUAGGGUGCGAGCGUUGUCCGGAUUUAUUGGGCGUAAAGGGCUCGUAGGUGGUUGAUCGCGUCGGAAGUGUAAUCUUGGGGCUUAACCCUGAGCGUGCUUUCGAUACGGGUUGACUUGAGGAAGGUAGGGGAGAAUGGAAUUCCUGGUGGAGCGGUGGAAUGCGCAGAUAUCAGGAGGAACACCAGUGGCGAAGGCGGUUCUCUGGGCCUUUCCUGACGCUGAGGAGCGAAAGCGUGGGGAGCGAACAGGCUUAGAUACCCUGGUAGUCCACGCUGUAAACGGUGGGUACUAGGUGUGGGGUCCAUUCCACGGGUUCCGUGCCGUAGCUAACGCUUUAAGUACCCCGCCUGGGGAGUACGGCCGCAAGGCUAAAACUCAAAGGAAUUGACGGGGCCCCGCACAAGCGGCGGAGCAUGCGGAUUAAUUCGAUGCAACGCGUAGAACCUUACCUGGGUUUGACAUGGAUCGGGAGUGCUCAGAGAUGGGUGUGCCUCUUUUGGGGUCGGUUCACAGGUGGUGCAUGGCUGUCGUCAGCUCGUGUCGUGAGAUGUUGGGUUAAGUCCCGCAACGAGCGCAACCCCUGUUCACUGUUGCCAGCACGUUAUGGUGGGGACUCAGUGGAGACCGCCGGGGUCAACUCGGAGGAAGGUGGGGAUGACGUCAAGCCAUCAUGCCCCUUAUGUCCAGGGCUUCACGCAUGCUACAAUGGCUGGUACAGAGAGUGGCGAGCCUGUGAGGGUGAGCGAAUCUCGGAAAGCCGGUCUCAGUUCGGAUUGGGGUCUGCAACUCGACCUCAUGAAGUCGGAGUCGCUAGUAAUCGCAGAUCAGCAACGCUGCGGUGAAUACGUUCCCGGG